rnacentral:rRNA from 1 species
AUUGAACGCUGGCGGCAUGCCUUACACAUGCAAGUCGAACGGCAGCACGGGGGCAACCCUGGUGGCGAGUGGCGGACGGGUGAGUAAUGCAUCGGAACGUGCCCUGAAGUGGGGGAUAACGCAGCGAAAGCUACGCUAAUACCGCAUAUUCUGUGAGCAGGAAAGCAGGGGAUCGCAAGACCUUGCGCUUUGGGAGCGGCCGAUGUCGGAUUAGCUAGUUGGUGGGGUAAAGGCCUACCAAGGCGACGAUCCGUAGCGGGUCUGAGAGGAUGAUCCGCCACACUGGGACUGAGACACGGCCCAGACUCCUACGGGAGGCAGCAGUGGGGAAUUUUGGACAAUGGGCGAAAGCCUGAUCCAGCCAUGCCGCGUGAGUGAAGAAGGCCUC